AUGAACGCUGGCGGCGUGUCUAAGGCAUGCAAGUCGAAUGGGUUUAGACCCAUGGCAAACGGGUGCGUAACACAUUGGUAACCUACCCUGGAGUCGUGAAUAACCCACCGAAAGGUGAGCUAAUACACGAUAGUCAUGAGGGGACGUAAGUCAUUCUCAUGUAAAAAUUUAUUGCUUCAGGAGGGGCCUAUGGCUUAUCAGCUUGUUGGUGGGGUAAUGGCCUACCAAGGCGAUGACGAGUAGCGGGUGUGAGAGCACGACCCGCCUCACUGGGACUGAGACACUGCCCAGACUCCUACGGGAGGCUGCAGUCAAGAAUAUUCCUCAAUGGACGAAAGUCUGAAGGAGCGACGCCGCGUGCCGGAUGAAGUCUUUCGGGAUGUAAACGGCUUUUAUUAGGGAACAAAUUUUGAGUGUACCUAAAGAAUAAGGGGCUGCUAACUUCGU
rnacentral:rRNA from 1 species